AAACAAAAAAAGUGAGGAAAAAAAGUUGGCGGAAGAAAAAAAAUAAAAAUAAUAAUAAUAAUAAUAAUAAUAAUAAUAAUCAGAACAAAUACAAUAGGUCUUUCAACAGAAAGGUUGAAAGACCUAAUAAUAAUAAUAAUCAGAACAAAUACAAUAGGUCUUUCAACAGAAAGGUUGAAAGACCUAAUAAUAAUAAUAAUAAUAAUCAGAACGAAUACAAUAGGUCUUUCAACAGAAAGGUUGAAAGACCUAAUAAUAAUAAUAAUCAGAACAAACCCUAUAGGUCUUUCAACUGAAAGGUUGAAAGACCUAAUAAUCAGAACAAAUACAAUAGGUCUUUCACCUGAAAGGUUGAAAGACCUAAUAAUAAUAAUCAGAACGAAUACAAUAGGUCUUUCAACAGAAAGGUUGAAAGACCUAAU
rnacentral:lncRNA from 1 species